AUUGAACGCUGGCGGCAUGCCUUACACAUGCAAGUCGAACGGCAGCAUGAUCUAGCUUGCUAGAUUGAUGGCGCGUGGCGAACGGGUGUGUAAUACAUCGGAACGUGCCCUGUAGUGGGGGAUAACUAGUCGAAAGAUUAGCUAAUACCGCAUACGACCUGAGGGUGAAAGUGGGGGAGCGCAAGGCCUCAUGCUAUAGGAGCGGCCGAUGUCUGAUUAGCUAGUUGGUGAGGUAAAGGCUCACCAAGGCGACGAUCAGUAGCUGGUCUGAGGGGACGAUCAGCCACACUGGGAGUGAGACAGGGCCCAGACUCCUACGGGAGGCAGCAGUGGGGAAUUUUGGACAAUGGGCGAGAGCCUGAUCCAGCAAUGCCGCGUGUGUGAAGAAGGCCUUCGGGUUGGAAAACACCUUUGUCCGGAAAGAAAUGGCUCUGGUUAAUACCUGGGGUCUAUGACGGUACCGGAAGAAUAAGAACCGGCUAACUACGUG
rnacentral:rRNA from 1 species